rnacentral:rRNA from 1 species
GACGAACGCUGGCGGCGUGCCUAAUACAUGCAAGUCGAGCGGACUUUCAAGAAGCUUGCUUUUUGAAAGUUAGCGGCGGACGGGUGAGUAACACGUGGGCAACCUGCCUGCAAGACGGGGAUAACUCCGGGAAACCGGGGCUAAUACCGGAUAAUAUCUUCCUUCGCAUGAAGGAAGGUUGAAAGGCGGCGCAAGCUGCCGCUUGCAGAUGGGCCCGCGGCGCAUUAGCUAGUUGGUGAGGUAACGGCUCACCAAGGCGACGAUGCGUAGCCGACCUGAGAGGGUGAUCGGCCACACUGGGACUGAGACACGGCCCAGACUCCUACGGGAGGCAGCAGUAGGGAAUCUUCCGCAAUGGAUGAAAGUCUGACGGAGCAACGCCGCGUGAGCGAAGAAGGUCUUCGGAUCGUAAAGCUCUGUUGUCAGGGAAGAACAAGUACCGUUCGAACAGGGCGGUACCUUGACGGUACCUGACCAGAAAGCCACGGCUAACUACGUG